rnacentral:rRNA from 1 species
GUGCAAUGGCAUAAGCCAGCUUGACUGCGAGCGUGACGGCGCGAGCAGGUGCGAAAGCAGGUCAUAGUGAUCCGGUGGUUCUGAAUGGAAGGGCCAUCGCUCAACGGAUAAAAGGUACUCCGGGGAUAACAGGCUGAUACCGCCCAAGAGUUCAUAUCGACGGCGGUGUUUGGCACCUCGAUGUCGGCUCAUCACAUCCUGGGGCUGAAGUAGGUCCCAAGGGUAUGGCUGUUCGCCAUUUAAAGUGGUACGCGAGCUGGGUUUAGAACGUCGUGAGACAGUUCGGUCCCUAUCUGCCGUGGGCGCUGGAGAACUGAGGGGGGCUGCUCCUAGUACGAGAGGACCGGAGUGGACGCAUCACUGGUGUUCGGGUUGUCAUGCCAAUGGCACUGCCCGGUAGCUAAAUGCGGAAGAGAUAAGUGCUGAAAGCAUCUAAGCACGAAACUUGCCCCGAGAUGAGUUCUCCCUGACUCCUUGAGAGUCCUGAAGGAACGUUGAAGA